GUUCGAGCGGUAACACAGGGUAGCUUGUUCCUGUGCCACGAGGGGGGAGGCUGAGUGAUGUCUGGGAAACUGCCUGAGGUGGGGGGAUACUAUUGCGAACGGUAGCUUAAACCGUUAACGUCUCAAGACCGAAGAGAGGGACCUCCGGGCCUCUUGCGAUCAGAUGUGCCCAGAUGGGAUUAUCUAGUAGGUGGGGUAAUGGCUCACCUAGGCGACGAUCCCUAGCUGGUCUGAGAGGAUGACCCGCCACACUUUAACUGAGACACGUUCCACACUUAUACGGGGGGGAGUUGGGUGGGCUAUUGUACGUUGGGCGCCAGCUUGAUGCGCUCAUGCGCGAUGUUUGAAGAAGGUCUUCGGAUUGUAAAGUACUUUCACCGAGUAGGGGGGCAUUAUUCUAUGGCGCCUUGGUUAUUGAGGCUUCUCGCAGAAGAAGUCAUCGCUCUUUUUGUGGCAGCAGGUCGGGGAUUAUGUAGGGGGUGCGCGUUGCAAUCAAUUACUGGACGUGAAGCGCACUCGCAGGCGCUGUCAAGUCGGACGUAUCGAUCCCCGAGCUCUACGUGAGAACAGCAUUCCAAACUGUGAGUGAAGAGAGAUUCUAGAGCUCGGUAGAAUUCCAGGUGUAGCGGUGAAAUGCGUAGAGAUCUGGAGGAAUACCGGUGGCGAAGGCGGCCCCCUGGACAAAGACUGACGCUCAGGUGCGAAAGCGUGGGGAGCAAACAGGAUUAGAUACCCUGGUAGUCCACGCCGUAAACGAUGUCGACUUGGAGGCUGUUCCCUUGAGGAGUGGCUUCCGGAGCUAACGCGUUAAGUCGACCGCCUGGGGAGUACGGCCGCAAGGUUAAAACUCAAAUGAAUUGACGGGGGCCCGCACAAGCGGUGGAGCAUGUGGUUUAAUUCGAUGCAACGCGAAGAACCUUACCUACUCUUGACAUCCAGAGAACUUAGCAGAGAUGCUUUGGUGCCUUCGGGAACUCUGAGACAGGUGCUGCAUGGCUGUCGUCAGCUCGUGUUGUGAAAUGUUGGGUUAAGUCCCGCAACGAGCGCAACCCUUAUCCUUUGUUGCCAGCGGUCCGGCCGGGAACUCAAAGGAGACUGCCAGUGAUAAACUGGAGGAAGGUGGGGAUGACGUCAAGUCAUCAUGGCCCUUACGAGUAGGGCUACACACGUGCUACAAUGGCGCAUACAAAGAGAAGCGACCUCGCGAGAGCAAGCGGACCUCAUAAAGUGCGUCGUAGUCCGGAUUGGAGUCUGCAACUCGACUCCAUGAAGUCGGAAUCGCUAGUAAUCGUAGAUCAGAAUGCUACGGUGAAUACGUUCCCGGGCCUUGUACACACCGCCCGUCACACCAUGGGAGUGGGUGCAAAAGAAGUA
rnacentral:rRNA from 1 species